rnacentral:sRNA from 1 species
AUUGUUGGAUAUCAAUGGCGGAGUACAGCAGUAACUUGGCAUUGAUAAGUAUGAAUCUUCCAAAAGCUUGGAAAGCACAUUAUUUAAUGAUGCAACCUCAGACAAGCCCAAAAAUAAUGCUGUUAUGAAAUUAAUGUUGAACAACUACCCAUGGAAGCUUUGACUCUUUGCAUGGAGGAAUAUUGAUAGACAGUAGGAGAUUAGAUAUGACUUUGGACUCUGUUGCAGCACUGUGAUGCACGUUCCAUAGAUUCUUCUGAACACUGCACUGAUUCAUCAGCUGUCAGACAUGAACAGAGAGCAUUCUAGAGAGGGACACAAUGGUAACUCAUGUAGAUGUUCCACUAACUAGUUAAGAUGGGCUCUUAACUGAUACUACAGUCUACUCAGGACCAUGUAACUUCACAUGUUCAACAGCUUUGGCAUUUUAUUACAGGGAGGAAUUUGAAGGCAAAUCCUGUUGAAGCACACCCAGAUGUUCCACAGAUUCUGCAGAACAGUGAAGAUCUGUUGCAGCACAUAAUUACCGUAUAUACUUGUUCAACAGAUUCAACAGGUCAUAAAGGACCAUGUUGCAGAAUAUGUUCAACAGCCUUGCAUAGAAUAUGAGAUAGAAGCUUGUAAUGGUAGUAGCAUCAGCAUUGUCUGGAAGGAACUAUCAGUGAAGAUUCUAUUGAAGAACACAAGGAUUAUGUCCCAAGUGGUAUAGAAUCAGUGGAUAAACCAUCAUGCACCACAUUACCAUCAAAGAAAAAAUGGACAAUGGAAUAGGACAUUUGAAUUUUAUAUGGACUUUAAAGAUUAAAGUGUACCAAGAGAGGCAGAAGCACUGAAAGUAAAAAAAUGUGGUGUAACGUCAUGGUUUAGUUUUUAUUUGUUUUAAAAUCUUAAUAUCAGCAAUAAGAUGUUGUAAUUUCUUAUGUGUUACUUUUAUGUUUAAGGUCAAGUGAACAUGAUUGAAAUAUGUAUUGCAUAUAUUUUAAAAGUAUAUUACAAUGUAAUUUAGAAUACUUAACGUUUUUAAAAAAGGACAAUCAUAUUAAUAUCUAAUAUUUACAUGUAGUGUAGAUUUCCCCUUAUGUUUGCAGAGGACAUCUGUGACGUUCAAUUUCUCAUGACACCUGUGGGUUUUAGCUCUGCUGGCAAUAGACCAGAAGAGUGUAUGCGAUGAUCUGUUUGUGUAGCUUUCUGUUUGUCUCUCUGUGAACAAUUUUCAAAUGCUACUACUAUUACAGCUAUCAAGAAUGUUCACAUAUAUAUAUACAUGUCUUGUGUUUGAAAUCAUGCAUGACACAUUUUUCUAACUUUGAGAAAUAGAAUAUAUAAUCUUUAACUGACAAAAGUGUUCCCUUAUUAAUAUUGUUUUACCUCUGCAAAUAAAGGUAUCAUGGUAUAAAGGAUUUACCUUGUCUGUCUGUUAAUAAUCUGUGUCUACAUUACAAGUGUUGAGGAUGGAUUGCUAUGCCAUAGCAAUAUUUUUGGUGGGGGUUAUGCAUUUGCUGCUGCCUUUAUUUGACACAGAGAUGGUCAUGGUCAUGUAGGGAUUCGUCAUGACCUAGACGUGGUAGUACAUGGACAAGGUGACAAGGAAAAUAAUGAUUUGGGGUAUUACCCUAAUACAAAGUCACAAGGAAAAGCGUAUAGGACAUUUUGAUGUGGCCUAAGCUAUAACCGAGAUAAGUUGUUCACACCUUAAUUUUUACAAGUAGUUUCAAACCAAUGGCAUUUGACACUUCAGGCGUCAAUGAUUUUAGUGAAGAGGUUUUCUGGUCUGUUACCAUAUUCUCUUUGAAGAUAAUUAUAGAAACCAAACUUAGAAAACAAUGUAUUUGAAGACAUUUUAUUUUUUUAUCUUUGACACCAGUUAAGGACAAUGUUUUGAUCUAUGUUCAUCUUAUCAAAAGGGGUACACAGACCAAACUUCUUCCUGAGAUGCAUUAACAUAUACUAGUAUAUGAUCAUUUCAAAGCAUGCUUUGCAUGCUGCUUCUGACUUAAAUUACAUAAGUCUGUGAUUCAUAAGCACAGUAUCUAUAUCUUUUUAUUUCAAGGGGUUUACAAAGUAAAUUUCUUCAGUGCAUCACUGGCUGCUCUGUUCAAUGCAUUACAUGUAGUAAAAAAAUCUGCCACCUUUUCAGGAAUGCCCCAUACUAUGCACUGUUGCCAUUAGGAGACAAGUCGUUAGUAAUUCUUCGGUUACUUUUAUAAAACAAAUUCCCUUAACCAUUUCUGUGCCACAGGGCCUAUUUGGGCCUAUUUGGAUAUCUACGUUAAGUGCCACAGGGCCUAUUUUGGCCUAUUUGAAUAUCUACGUUAAGUGCCACAGGGCCUAUUUGGGCCUAUGGCAAUUUGAAAAAAUAUACAUUAAAAUAAAUAAAAAUAUUAAAUAU